UGCUGCUAUGCUUUUGAAAUAUGGCCUUGGAGAAGUAGAGGCUGCUGAAAGAAUAGAGUGCAGUUCUCGAGACACUGAACAGGGGAUUUCGAACUGCUGACAUAUAUUCUGCCGGAACAAAGCUGGUAGGAUGCAAACAAUUAGGCGAAGAGAUACUGAAGUCGGUUGAAUCUCAUGCUCCCCACGGCUGCAGCAGUGUGAUUUUAAGACCAACUCAGCAUAGAUAUCCCUAGUCUUUAGUGCUUUGGCUUUCAUAUGCGGUUUUUGUAUUUUUCAAACUGGCAUUGAAUCCGGGAUUAUUAGUUACUUAGUUCCCUUCAUUAUGCAUGUUAUAAUAGUGUAUCAAUGAAAUAUAGAGGUCAGAAUUUUUAAUGCCAUUCUGAAAAACUGAGCAGACCUUGACAAAUCCAUGGGGCAUUCACACAACACUCAGACAAGGAUAUUGCAAGCUUUAAAAUGCGUAUGAUUUGUAUUCCUCUUCUUUUUAUGGUCUCAUUAAUAUUCCUCCUCUCUUUUAAAGGGAUUUAUAUUACAUUUCUCUCUUAUAUCAUUGUAUGUUAAGGCUAUGCUCAAAGUAAACAUAUAAGAAUGUAUAUCUAAAGAUUGAUGGUA